rnacentral:rRNA from 1 species
GCCAGAGGACCCAAACUCUAAUGUUUCUUAUUGUAACUUCUGAGUAAAACAAACAAAUAAAUCAAAACUUUCAACAACGGAUCUCUUGGUUCUGGCAUCGAUGAAGAACGCAGCAAAAUGCGAUAAGUAAUGUGAAUUGCAGAAUUCAGUGAAUCAUCGAAUCUUUGAACGCACAUUGCGCCCGCUGGUAUUCCGGCGGGCAUGCCUGUUCGAGCGUCAUUUCAACCCUCAAGCCCCCGGGUUUGGUGUUGGGGAUCGGCUCUGCCUCACGGCGGUGCCGCCCCCGAAAUACAUUGGCGGUCUCGCUGCAGCCUCCAUUGCGUAGUAGCUAACACCUCGCAACUGGAACGCGGCGCGGCCAUGCCGUAAAACCCCAACUUCUGAAUGUUGACCUCGGAUCAGGUAGGAAUACCCGCUGAACUUAAGCAUA